rnacentral:lncRNA from 1 species
AUUCAAGAAGUCUUCUUCUAUAACAAAACUCUUCUUUCAUAGCUGUCUCUUCUUUAGUUGAAUCUUUCGAUCUUAGUUAACGAUCUUGGGUUUGCAUAAGUUCUCUCCAGGUAUACUUUUCUUUUGCUAUUCUCUACAUGGUAUCAACGCCAAUGUCAUAGAUUGACUUGUAUUUAUUUCAAGACCGGACUUAUGGUUGAUUCAACUAAUUUAUACGAAUGAAAACAGUCACAUUAAUAGGCUGGGAAUAGAGUUGUUGAAUCAGUUCAAUUACAAGGUAUGGAAGACAUGUAUGGAAUCAUACCUUGUGGGCGAGGAUUUGUGGGAUAUUGUUAAUGGGAGUAACACAAGUUCUUCGGAUGACGAACUGGAGAAUUGUGGUGCAUAAAAGAAGUGGAAGUAGAUAAAUGUGAAGGAGG